ensembl:lncRNA
GUCUGUAGUAGGGGUUUGCUUUUGCCCCACUGUAGCUAUUACUAAUCCAAACCAUUAUUGAUUGCAUACCAUCUCUUACAAUUUGCUCUAGUAGGAGGAUGUUUGUGUGCAGUCCUGCUGGCAUACCAGUGCUGAGGUGAAAGAUCACCUGAGGAAGGGGGACAGGCCUUCUGUUUUAACAAGGUGAACAUAUAGAAAGAUAUGCCAUGGACUUCAGGCCAACUUCUUUUCUACCUGAUCUCAACUGAAUCACCAAACACAAGUUUAAGUCAGAGGAAACCCUUCUUAUUGUAUUUCUCUUAUUUUCAUUCAGACCACAUUAUCUAAACUCAUGCGGAGUGAUUUCUAACCUGAACUGCCAUGCUUGCCUCUGGAGGAAAAAGGCCUCAGAAGCAUCUUGAUAAAUUGAUGUACAUCUAUGUAUGAUAUGCACUUUAUGCGAUGUAAGUAGGAAGAACAAGUGUAACUCAUGCAAAUUAUGACUCCUGAGUCUAAUCUAAAUUGGUGGAACCAUCAAUGCAACUGGACAGCUAGAAGGGGGAUGGAGUUGCUUAACGCAUCCAGGUGUCUUUGUUGCUGCAACUCAGCUACGAAGGACACAGCAUUAAGUGCAAAAUUUCUGGAUAAAGAGCUGUGGACCUGGUUCCUCUAAUGAAGAUUCUCAUUACAGAAAAUGCCUUCAUCUGAGUUGGAAAACAAAUACAAAAAACAGAACCUGUUCAACCAGGCUUGUGGAUAACACUGAUGAUGCUCUGUUUCGAUGAGAUGACAUAACUUACUGCCACAGCAGCCUCAGAAUCUUCUGUUCAUGUCUAAUGACGAGACAAAAUACAGCUCUGCCUUAUUAACUGAAACUUGCAUACAUCCAAAAUCAGCUUAAAUUUCUCAACAGAAAUCUUAGCAGCUCUGUGUACCAAACCUCUUUCUGUUGCCUGCUGACCUUCCAUACCUGCACAAAGAGCAAAGGGUGUGUUCUGUGGGAUGUGCACAUAGUAUGUGCCUCCCUGGAGAAGUGCACCAAGCCAACAGUGGUUGCCUCAGCUGUGGGGCAGAAGUGAGUGUUGGGAAGGGUGCUGUGGGGCUUGAGCCUUCCUUCUUACAGCCCCAAAUUGUAGUGGGUGGGCCAGACACUGCUGUUUAUAUGGACCUCUAGCAAAUUGCUGCUGCUCUGGAGCAAGGGAGAUGUAGGCUGAGUGCAUGACAAGAGACGUGUUCUGGCUAGCUUUAAGUGAGCUGUCUUCAGUGGUGUUAGCAGUACAGCCACAGGAGCACACAGCUCAGCAUAGG